rnacentral:rRNA from 1 species
AUGAGGUGUGGAUAGGGGAGAAAUUCCAAUCGAACCCGGAGAUAGCUGGUUCUCCUCGAAAUAGCUUUAGGGCUAGCCUCAUGCAAGUCUUACGGAGGUAGAGCACUGAAUUCCUAAGGGGGCGUCAAAGCUUACCAAGGGAUAUCAAACUCCGAAUGCCGUGUAGAUGGUGCAUGGGAGUCAGACUAUCCGAGAUAAGUUGGGUAGUCAAAAGGGAAAGAGCCCAGACCUACAGCUAAGGUCCCAAAGUGUGUGUUAAGUGGAAAAGGAUGUGGGAUUUCAAAGACAACUAGGAUGUUGGCUCAGAAGCAGCCACACAUUCAAAGAGUGCGUAAUAGCUCACUAGUCGAGAGGUCCUGCGCCGAAAAUGUCCGGGGCUGAAACACACUACCGAAGCUUGGGAAUUGACGAAUGUUAAUUGGUAGAGGAGCAUUCUUAACGGGGCGAAGCUGUACCGGAAGGAGCAGUGGACUGUUAAGAAGAGAGAAUGCCGGAAUGAGUAGCGAGAGGAAGGUGAGAAUCCUUCCGGCCGAAUAUCUAAGGUUUCCAGAGUAAAGCUGAUCUGCUCUGGGUAAGUCGGGGCCUAAGGCGAGGUCGAAAGACGUAGUCGAUGGAUAACAGGUAAAGAUUCCUGUACUGUAUCAUAACAGAACUGUGGGGACGCAGACAGAGAGCAUAAGCCGGGAAUGGAAAGACCGGUACAAGCGAGGUAGGAGUGCAUCAGGCAAAUCCGGUGCACAAUCUGAAGACGUGAUGUGGGGCGUAAAGCCGGAAGUAUGUGAGCUGGCUGCCAAGAAAAGCCGCUAUUGUUUAUGAUAUACCCGUACCGUAAACCGACACAGGUGGAUGAGGAGAGAAUCCUAAGGCCGACGGGAGAAGCAUUGUUAAGGAACUCGGCAAAAUGACUCCGUAACUUCGGGAGAAGGAGUGCCAUGUAAAAGUGGCCGCAGAGAAUUGGCCCAAGCAACUGUUUAGCAAAAACACAGGUCUAUGCAAAACCGAAAGGUGAGGUAUAUGGGCUGACGCCUGCCCGGUGCUGGAAGGUUAAGGGGAGAGGUUAGCCGUAAGGCGAAGCUUUGAACUUAAGCCCCAGUAAACGGCGGCCGUAACUAUAACGGUCCUAAGGUAGCGAAAUUCCUUGUCGGGUAAGUUCCGACCCGCACGAAAGGCGUAAUGAUUUGAGCGCUGUCUCGACAAUGCACCCGGUGAAAUUGAAAUACCAGUGAAGAUGCUGGUUACCUGCGCCAGGACGGAAAGACCCCAUGGAGCUUUACUCCAGCUUGAUACUGGGAUUCGAUAUUGCAUGUACAGGAUAGGUGGGAGACUGAGAACUGAUGACGCCAGUUGUCAGGGAGUCACUGUUGGGAUACCACCCUUGUAGUAUUGGAUUUCUAACCAGCAGCCGUGAACCGGCUGGGGGACAAUGUCAGGUGGGGAGUUUGACUGGGGCGGUCGCCUCCGAAAGGGUAUCGGAGGCGCUCAAAGGUUCCCUCAGAAUGGUUGGAAACCAUUCGAAGAGUGCAAAGGCAGAAGGGAGCUUGACUGCGACACCGACGGGUGGAGCAGGUACGAAAGUAGGACUUAGUGAUCC